AAAGUUUAGGGAUGAAACUAGAUUUAAAAAAAGAUGAGGUAUCGGACUGAAUUUAGACCUAAAAUUCAGGGGAGUAAACUGAAAUUUUUACCUAAAAAAUAUGUAGUAUAAAGGUUAAUCACACAGUUCACACUACGAUUUAUGGUUGUACGAUACUUACGAUAUAUGAUUCGGACGCACUGCUUAUAUUUUGGUGCUCAAUUUGACGAACAUGACCACAAAGUUUACUGACCGGUAAGCAUAGAUCAUAAAAUUGACUUUGAAGAGACUGACCAGAUCUGAUCAUUUCCCCAAUCUUCUCCUCAUUGUCAGCAACAACAAUCCUCUCCUAGAGCGCAUCCUUUUUUUGGUUAAUACCAUUGAUUGGACAUUGAGAAACAUCAAUAUAUAUAUAUAGGCCCGAUCAGAAGCGGACGUCCACACUGAAGAAAAAGUGCAGACGCCGACUCAAAGAGGCUCUAGGCGACGUCAAUGGCAGCUCUGCUUCUGUCCUUGAAGACAUCAGACAUUCCAGACGUCGUCAUCAUCAAGGUGAAAGCCGAGGUGAGCUAGAUCGAUGGUUCGACCAGGAAGUUUACCAGAAAACUUCAAGCACCACAUUCUCGACUUCGAACUUUUUGUUGGAGAGUCCACCGGUAAGGAAAAGGACAGGAUGGAGGUUUGCUUCAACGCCAUCAAGGUUGCCGACGUUGUCAGCACCACCUAGAGCCUUCUUGAGCCGGCGUCCGCACUUUUUCACCUUUGCGGACGUCCGCCUUUGAUCUUUUCUAUAUAUAUAUAUAUAUACAGUCGGGAUCAGAGGCAGACAUCCGCACGCCCUUACGUGCGGACAUCCGAACGUUCUCCACCGUACGGCUCCAACGACUGCGCACCUCCACCCUAGCCGCCUCCAGCAGCGUCCCCUAUCAUUUUCCCUCCGUGGCGAGUCUGCCGAAUUUCAGUUUUCCGGCGAGAUCGAUUUUGUUUCAAGUUUUGGGUGAUCUCGCCCGAAAACUGGAUUUCGGUGGACUCGCCGGGGAGGGAAAGUGA
rnacentral:lncRNA from 1 species